rnacentral:rRNA from 1 species
GAUGAACGCUGGCGGCGUGCCUAAUACAUGCAAGUCGAGCGAACAGACGAGGAGCUUGCUCCUCUGACGUUAGCGGCGGACGGGUGAGUAACACGGGGAUAACCUACCUAUAAGACUGGGAUAACUUCGGGAAACCGGAGCUAAUACCGGAUAAUAUAUUGAACCUCAUGGUUCAAUAGUGAAAGUCGGUUUUGCUGUCACUUAUAGAUGAAUACGCGCCGCAUUAGCUAGUUGGUAAGGUAACGGCUUACCAAGGCAACGAUGCGUAGCCGACCCGAGGGGGUCAUUGGACAGCCUGGAAGUGAGACACGGUCCCGACUCCUACGGGAGGCAGCAGUAGGGAAUCCUCCGCAAUGGGCGAAAGCCUGACGGAGCAAAGCCGCGUGAGUGCUGAAGGACUUCUGCUCGUAAAACUCUGUUAUCAGGGAAGAACAAAUGUGUAAGUAACUAUGAACGUAUUGACGGUACCUAAUCAGAAAGCUACGGCUAACUACGUG